GUUGUGUGCCGUAUUUUUUGCCAGUUCGCGUGCUGCUGCUUGCUGCUGCUGCUCUUAUAAGCUCUGUUGCCGAGUGGUCCGUACGCCGGAAAUACAGAGUACUGUUUAAAGGGAGGAAUAUCGUACGUGUUGUUUGUUAAAUAAUUUUUUAAACACCGCUUGAAUACGGUAACUGAGCGGGGCAGGGUGAAAAAAAAAAGAAAAAAAAAAAAAAAAAAAAAAUUAAAUAAAUAACUGAAUAAAAUAAAUAUACCGCGGAAAGAGUAAGAAAAUGAAAUACUUAGGAGCGCAAAAAAUAAGAACGAAGAGAGGUCUGGGCUACCGACGACGAGGGCACUGAUCUCUCAGGGAGCGGCGACCUGCGAACCAACCAUAGAUAUAGGAUAUCCUCUCCUCGAUCGCUACGCAGACUGGCGAUUCCGCUGGCUCUCUGGCUCUCUGCAGGCUGGAGUCUGGGACAAGGAUUCUUCUCUUCUCUUCUCUUCUCUUCUCUACUCUACUCUUCACAAUCGCAAAUCGCAAUCAGAUAUACAUAUAUAUAUACAUAUAUAUACAUUUAUAUAUAUAUAUAUAUAUAGAGACACACGCAUGGUAUAUAAACGGCGUACAUACUGCAUCGUCAACUUACGCUGUCACCUCAACGGUCUUCGAACAGAGAUCAUCGGCGUUUUUCUAAAGAGGGUUCACCGCACGCCGAGCAGAUAUCUACUCUCAAUGGUGCACGCGUACGUGCCAUAUUAUGUAUAAGAAAUUACAUAGACCUGUGUGUACAUGUGAAUAUGGACGAUGUGGAAUUGGGGGACGAAAAAAAGCCCGCGACAGCGAGAAUAUUUUAUCUUCUUCUUCUUCUUCUUCUUAGAGAACUAUAAGUGAGAAGAGCUUAAAAAUUUUGACGAGUUACAUAGCUGCAGAAAAAUACUGCCAAUGUUCAACACGCACUAUCUCAGCUGCAGUUACUUGAUGACACUAACCCGUAGAUCCGAACUUGUGGGCUAUUUUAUUUGCACACCGCAAGCUCCUAUCUACCGGUACAUGUAGUCAGGCCGUCGAUUUGGUUGUUAUAUACGCAACUUGCAGUUAUGCGCCUGCAAAAUAUCGAACCGAGGACAACGAAAUUUUUGUGCGGACCGUCGACGACGACCUCGUGAAUUUCCACUCACCUCUAUCCUACGUUGGAUGCGCCCCAUAUUUAUGUCAACGAAUUUUUUAUGGUCUUUUUUUCGUUUGGUUUAAAAAUUUGUUAAUUCGUUUUUUUUUUUAUUCUUUUCGUUUUUCCAAAUUUGGCGUUGUACAUUCGCCGAUGCGACGCAGUUUCUUUUUGUGACAAAAAAAAAAAUAAAAAAAAAAAAAAAUUCAUUCCACUGAUAUUUGGAGAUUAAUUGAAACGGAACAAUAAGAAAGAGUAAGAAAACGAAAAAAUUUAAUUCAAAAUGUAGCGAUGGAAUGAAAUUUGAGUUUUCUUGCGGCGGCGCCUGGGUGAGGUAGUAGGUUGUAUAGUAGGGAAUGAAAAUUCGAGAAUACGAAGUCCACUGUACAGCUUGCUAACUUUCCCGGUCGCCGGCGCCCCGACGCUGGACCAUGGCUGAACCCAUCGUUAAAUUCGUGCUCCGGAGAUCAGCGGCAACGCGCGGGAAACGGCGAGGAAAGGGAGAGAAAGGAGGUGCGGUCAACUAGGAACGG
rnacentral:misc_RNA from 1 species